UCCACGUCCCGGUCGGCCUCCCCUCCGCGGCGCCCUGCUCUGGCCUCACCGAUGCAUCCCGCAUAUGCGGUCUCCCCACUGCGACGCCCUGCUCUGGCCUCGGCAGCGCUCCACGCAUCUCCAGCCUCCCCUCCACGGCGCCCUUCUUCAGCCUCCGUCCCCAACGCGGUCCACACCAGCGACCUCCCUUCCUCCUCCUUCAGCAGCUCCCAUGAUGUGAAUCAACCACACGAGAUGGAGGGAGUUGCGCCAUCGGCCACGGUGGCAGGGGCGGCCCAGAAGACCUCCGAUCUGCUGCCAAGUCGCCCCCUCCCCUCUUGAAAUUGUCCCUGAUAGAAGACAUAGAAGCCAAUGCCAUUGAUGCUGAAACUAUGGGCACUACUAGUUCCAAAAAUGGUGCUACAAACAAGAGAAAAGGAGGUGAUAAAGGGGUAAAGUCUAGCCCAACUUCUGAAGCAUAGAAGACUUCUGCUACACAUGAUAGCGCAGCAAAGAACACAACAAGCAGAAAAUGUCCUCCGUCGAAGAGCACAAGAAGCAAAAAGAAGCCGCGAACCGUGUCGUUUAACUGAUGCAAGUACAUGUUAUUUUGUGGAGAACUAUGUAUAUGUGAACCUGGCUGUGUAGCUGAUGCAACUACAUGCAAUUUUGUGGAGCAAUAUGGAUAUGUGAACCCUGUUGUGUAGCUGAUUUACUACAUGUUAUUUUGUGGAGCACCAUGCAUAUGUGAACCUUCCUCUGUAGCUAGACCUUAUUGUACUAUGUUCAGCUUGUGUGGAGCUUUCCUUUUGAGUGGUCCAUAUGCAUGUGAGCCUUGCUGAUUAGAUUAGAUGAUAGAUUUGUACUCUUAUGAAGUAAUU